rnacentral:tRNA from 1 species
UGGAGCAUCGUUUAGUGGUUAAGACGCUGGGUUUUGAUUCCAGAGACAGGGGUUCGAUUCCCCUUGCACCAA